rnacentral:lncRNA from 1 species
AUCUGGAGUUUAUAUAGGUGAGUUUUAAAUCUUCAAGCAAUAUUCUACCCAAACUCUGAUGUGAUAAUCCGUUCUUCCUGACAACAUGCCAUGUCAACAAGCAGAACGUUGCAGAUUUUGCUCAAUCACAGCAUUUAAUGCUUGGAUAGUCUCUAGAGUUCAAAUCAUUUUGCUUGGUCCUGCAUGUUUCAAGUUCAGUGUUGAACCCAUUGUUUCAAAUUUUUCCAUUUCUUCACAUUGUGGGCCAAUGGAACCAUAUCAGGAUGGUGCAGUUGAAAAUGAUGCUAGAAUUUAUGCCAUGGAGCUUCACAGCAAUCAUUGUUUUUGUAAUAUGCAUUCAUCAUGAAAGCAUGCUGCUCCUCUGACCACUGCUCCAUAGCAACUGAAAUGUGUGGAUCUGCAACAGGCUAUGUCGCCAGUUUUUGGGGGUGUUAUCAUUUGAUGAUACCACUCCUGACACCACUGUGAGGUCGGUGAUUUUUGGGGGGUCUUAUCGUUCGAAGACCCUGUCAUCGUAUGGGAUGAACCGAGCUUUUCCGUGUUUAACUGUCAGGUCCUGACACCAGGAGAAGUUUAAAGUGUUUCUCCAACACUCGAAUAUCGGCCUUGAAUUUACGU